rnacentral:rRNA from 1 species
UGGGGAAUAUUGGACAAUGGGCGCAAGCCUGAUCCAGCCAUGCCGCGUGAGUGAUGAAGGCCUUAGGGUUGUAAAGCUCUUUCGUCCGACGAAGAUAAUGACGGUAGUCGGAGAAGAAGCCCCGGCUAACUUCGUGCCAGCAGCCGCGGUAAUACGAAGGGGGCUAGCGUUGUUCGGAAUCACGUGGGCGUAAAGCGCACGUAGGCGGGAUUGUUAAAGUCAGGGGUGAAAGCCUGGAGCUCAACUCCAGAACUGCCCUUGAUACUGGCAAUCUCGAGUCCGGAAGAGGUAAGUGGAACUGCGAGUGUAGAGGUGAAAUUCGUAGAUAUUCGCAAGAACACUAGUGGCGAAGGCGGCUUACUGGUCCGGUACUGACGCUGAGGUGCGAAAAGCGUGGGGUAGCAAACAGGAUUAGAUACCCUGGUAGUCCACGCCGUAAACGAUGGAGGCUAGCCGUUGGCGAGCAUGCUCGUCAGUGGCGCAGCUAACGCAUUAAGCCUCCCGCCUGGGGGAGUACGGUCGCAAGAUUAAAACUCAAAUGAAUUGAC